GGAUUAGGUACUGCAAAGUGGCAGGUACGUCUCUGUUUUUUAUUUUUAUUUUAGUAGAUGUUAGUUUCAGCCCUUUUUUUUAUUGAUCUUCAUUUUAUGUCUGGUUUCUAAUAAAAAUAUGAGAAAUUACUUAUUCCACGCUCAUCUGGCAAAGAAAACUUGUAUUAUCUCAUCUGCCUUUAGUCUUUUGCUUGUGGAAAGGAUAUAUGUGCUCCCUCCCUUCUUCUCCCACUUUUCAUUUAUCUACAAGCUCUUUUUC
rnacentral:misc_RNA from 1 species